GAUGAACGCUGGCGGCGUGCCUAAUACAUGCAAGUCGAACGGAGAGUGUUAGCUUCGGUUGAUAACUCUUAGCGGCGGACGGGUGAGUAACGCGUGGGCAACCUGCCUUACAGAGGGGGAUAACAGUGCGAAAGCACUGCUAAUACCGCAUGACAUUCAUUGGUCGCAUGACCGAUGAAUCAAAGGAGAAAUCCGCUGUAAGAUGGGCCCGCGUCUGAUUAGCUAGUUGGUGAGGUAAAAGCUUACCAAGGCGACGAUCAGUAGCCGAUCUGAGAGGAUGACCGGCCACACUGGAACUGAGACACGGUCCAGACUCCUACGGGAGGCAGCAGUGGGGAAUAUUGCACAAUGGGGGAAACCCUGAUGCAGCAACGCCGCGUGAAGGAUGAAGGUCUUCGGAUUGUAAACUUCUUUGAUGAGGGACGAAUAAAUGACGGUACCUCAAAAACAAGCCACGGCUAACUACGUG
rnacentral:rRNA from 1 species